rnacentral:rRNA from 1 species
CCUACGGGGGGCAGCAGUGGGGAAUAUUGGACAAUGGGGGCAACCCUGAUCCAGCCAUGCCGCGUGUGUGAAGAAGGCCCUCGGGUUGUAAAGCACUUUCAGUGAGGAAGAACGCCUGGUGGUUAAUACCCAUCAGGAAAGACAUCACUCACAGAAGAAGCACCGGCUAACUCCGUGCCAGCAGCCGCGGUAAUACGGAGGGUGCGAGCGUUAAUCGGAAUUACUGGGCGUAAAGCGCGCGUAGGUGGCUUGAUAAGCCGGUUGUGAAAGCCCCGGGCUCAACCUGGGAACGGCAUCCGGAACUGUCAAGCUAGAGUGCAGGAGAGGAAGGUAGAAUUCCCGGUGUAGCGGUGAAAUGCGUAGAGAUCGGGAGGAAUACCAGUGGCGAAGGCGGCCUUCUGGACUGACACUGACACUGAGGUGCGAAAGCGUGGGUAGCAAACAGGAUUAGAUAUCCUUGGAGUC